GCUUUCAACAUCUCCGUUCCGUUGGUCUAAGCCGCGGGACUGAAGGC
rnacentral:ncRNA from 12 species